CUUUCUGUGAGUGAGGCGGCUGACUGUGAGCUGCUGCUCGUUAUAACUGACUGCUCGGUCGGUCCCAAAUUAUUUAAUAUUUGCAUGUAAUUUUUUUUUAUUUUGAGCGAAUUUGAGUCGUUACAUGUCAAUGGAGAACAAAAACUGUGAACACAAGAAGGGUCAGAUGUGUUCUGCGAGGUCCUGCAAACAUACUGGCAAAAUGAGAUGAUCAAGUUAGAUGCUCACCUAAUGUGUUGCUGGUAAGUUAUGUGUUAAUAUCUGUCUUUUAGAGAUUUUUCCACAUUUUCCUGAUAUGAAUCCCAUGCAUUAGGUGUGUUAUAUAUGUUUUUAUUCUUAUAAUAGUUUCAAAGUGUUUUCUGAAACAUAUAAGUGCAAAUGUCGGUAUUUAAAUAAUAUAAUUUUAAAGAAUUAAUGAAAAUGAA